rnacentral:rRNA from 1 species
UGGGGAAUUGUUCGCAAUGGGCGCAAGCCUGACGACGCAACGCCGCGUGGAGGACGAAGAUCUUCGGGUCGUAAACUCCUGUCGAGUGGGAAGAAUGCUUCGGGGGUGAAUAACCUCCGGAAUUGACGGUACCACUAAAGGAAGCCCCGGCUAACUCCGUGCCAGCAGCCGCGGUAAUACGGGGGGGGAAAGCGUUGUUCGGAAUUACUGGGCGUAAAGGGCUCGUAGGCGGCCAACUAAGUCGGAUGUGAAAUCCCCAGGCUUAACCUGGGAACUGCAUCCGAUACUGGAUGGCUUGAAUCCGGGAGAGGGAUGCAGAAUUCCAGGUGUAGCGGUGAAAUGCGUAGAUAUCUGGAGGAAUACCGGUGGCGAAGGCGGCAUCCUGGACCGGCAUUGACGCUGAGGAGCGAAAGCUAGGGGAGCAAAC